rnacentral:rRNA from 1 species
GAUGAACGCUAGCGGCAGGCCUAACACAUGCAAGUCGAGGGGCAGCAUGGCGUAGCGAUACACUGAUGGCGACCGGCGCACGGGUGCGUAACGCGUAUGCAACCUGUCCGGCGCAGGGGGGUAGCCCGUCGAAAGGCGGGGUAAUCCCGCAUGAACCGGUAUUCCCGCAUGGGGGUGCCGGCAAAGUGGAGACGCGGGGCCGGAGGGGCAUGCGUGCCAUUAGCUGGCUGGUGGGGUAACGGCCCACCAGGGCGAUGAUGGCUAGGGGGUCUGAGAGGAUGGUCCCCCACACUGGUACUGAGACACGGACCAGACUCCUACGGGAGGCAGCAGUGAGGAAUAUUGGUCAAUGGGCGGAAGCCUGAACCAGCCAUGCCGCGUGCAGGAAGGAGGCCCUACGGGUUGUAAACUGCUUUUACCCGGGAAGAAACCGCCCCCUGUGGGGGCGUUGCCGGUACCGGGGGAAAAGGAUCGGCUAACUCCGUGCCAGCAGCCGCGGGUAAACUCGUACGUACGUACGUCGUAGAC